UAAGGAAUAUUGGACAAUGGACGGAAGUCUGAUCCAGCCAUCCCGCGUGGAGGAAUAAGGCCCUAUGGGUUGUAAACUCCUUUAGCAGGGGAAUAAAAAGGUCAUUUAUGAUCAAUUGAAGGUACCCUGAGAAUAAGCACCGGCUAACUCCGUGCCAGCAGCCGCGGUAAUACGGAGGGUGCAAGCGUUAUCCGGAUUUACUGGGUUUAAAGGGUGCGUAGGCGGACUAUUAAGUUAGAUGUGAAAGCUUGCAGCUUAACUGUAAGAUUGCGUUUGAUACUGGUAGUCUUGAAUUCGGUAGAAGUUGGCGGAAUAAAUCAUGUAGCGGUGAAAUGCAUAGAUAUGAUUUAGAACACCGAUUGCGAAGGCAGCUAGCUAUACCGAUAUUGACGCUGAGGCACGAAAGCGUGGGGAUCAAACA
rnacentral:rRNA from 1 species